rnacentral:rRNA from 1 species
CCUACGGGAGGCAGCAGUGGGGAAUAUUGGACAAUGGGCGCAAGCCUGAUCCAGCAAUACCGCGUGAGUGAUGAAGGUCUUCGGAUUGUAAAGCUCUUUUAGUGGAGAAGAUAAUGACGGUAUCCACAGAAAAAGCACCGGCAAACUUCGUGCCAGCAGCCGCGGUAAUACGAAGGGUGCUAGCGUUGUUCGGAAUCAUUGGGCGUAAAGCGUACGUAGGCGGUUUAGUAAGUCGAUUGUGAAAUACCCGAGCUCAACUUGGGAAUUGCAAUCGAAACUGCUUUGCUAGAGUUUAGUGGGGGAUAGUGGAAUUCCUAGUGUAGGGGUGAAAUCCGUAGAUAUUAGGAGGAACAUCAGUGGCGAAGGCGACUAUCUACGCUAAUACUGACGCUAAGGUACGAAAGCGUGGGGAGCAAACAGGAUUAGAUACCCUGGUAGUCCACGCAGUAAACGAUGAGUGCUAGUUGUCGGGGUCUUAGACUUCGGUGGCGAAGCUAACGCGUUAAGCACUCCGCCUGGGGACUACGGUCGCAAGACUAAACUUAAAUGAAUUGACGG